AAAUGUGAAGACAGUAGUUUUUUUAUUUUUUCUCUUUUACUGAUAGUCUGAUUGUAAGUAAAAUGAAGAGUUAACUUGAAGUAUUGAGACAUAAGGAGGCUGAAAGUAGGUUUUUUGGAUUGGAGAGUUGACUGGAAGCUUGGGAUAGCCGCUACUGCUGCUGUUGCCGCCUAUUGCUUGCAAUUUAUAUGGUAACAGCAGCCAUAAAGGCUUACUAUUUGUUAUCCAAAAAAAAAAAAAUCCAUUGCAUAUUGGCAGUAGUGGUAACCCCAAAAUUCGAUAUUUAACAGCCAUUAGUUAGCUGUUGUUUAAAUCCAUUGUUGACUGUCUUACUGAACAAUGAAGUAACAUGCAUCUUACCUUACAGUUAGCAAGGGAAAGCACACCAGAUGAGGAUGUUGGCCUCCCACAACUGCAAUUACUACCACAAUAGGAUUCCAUAUCCUCUUUCUUUCUGGUUACUUUCUUAUGUCUUCUUCUUCUUCUGUUGUUGAGGCCUGAGGACAAAAGGAGGAGAAGAAAGGAGGGGGGCGGGCACAAGCAGAUAGAAAUCCAGGUGUAUAAGGCAAUCAAACCCUCUGGCAUAUGAUUUGAUUCAGUUUUAGGUGUUUGGUUCAUUGGUUUAAAAGAGAAUGAUUACUUUUUUAUUGAUAAUGUGUUGGUUUGAAAUGGAUUGAAGAGAGAAUGUUCUUUUAUCAGGAUUUCUACAACAGUCACAGAACCCAUAUUAUCCAGCUGGGUUGACCUGCAGUCAACUUGAGCUUAUCAAGAAGACUAUUUACCCUUUGGCUAGAGAGAGAAAUAAUGCCACAUCAGCAAAUUGUUCCAGCUAAUUUUUUAUGAUGCAUUAGUUAGUGUACAUGUCAAGCACGCGUGCUGACAUGUUUGAACAGGAUUGAAAGUAAAAGUCAAGUGACUUAAUAGGUCAACAUAAAAGUAUGAAGGUUAGAGAGUGUUUGGUUUAAUUACUUAUUUUAAAUUUUGAUUUAAAAUGUAUUUUAAACUUAUAUGUCAAUUUAAAAAUAAGUAUUUAAUUGUUUGGUAAAACUAAUUAAAAUUAACUUUUAAAUAGUUUAAAUAUUUUGUUAAAAGGUGCUUAAAAAUAACUUAAUCUGUUAAAAUGACCAGAAAGGAUAUGUAAUUGAGUGUUGCGGUUGUUAAAAUAAGGAUAGUGCUGAUAUUUUUAAAAAUUAUUAUGAUAAUUAAGUCUUUUACUUGGUCAAAUAGUAGUUUUAAAAUAAAUAGAUUAGUUAUAAGUAAAUAUAAUCUUACUUAUGACUUGUGACUUAUUUUAAGUAAUUUGUAACUCAUAAGUCAACUUAAAUAUUAAUCUACUUACAAUUUUUUACUUAUAAGUAAAUUUAAUUGACUUAUAAGCUAAACCAAGCACACCACUUAGGGGCUUUCAUAUGGUUUAUUUCUUUCUUUAGCACAUGAUUUUCACACAAGUAGGGUGCUUCAUCUUCAAUGC
rnacentral:misc_RNA from 1 species